rnacentral:misc_RNA from 1 species
AGGAGUGCAGCAACGGCUGCAACACAGAAGCGAGAGCCAAAUGUGUGCGCGCGUUUCAGGAUCCCCCGUAUGUGCGACAGCUGUGAUCUUCGCAACGUCGUCUCCGGAGCAGUUAUGCAGACAGCAGCAGGAGCCGACCCUUCAGCCACCGUUUUCCAUGCUGUGUUGACCUGUUUUGCAGUGUUUUCUUGCAACCAGUAGUGUCUGCUAACUUCACGGGAGUGCACCAUGGCGUCAGUGAAGGUCGCCGUGCGUGCCAGGCCCUUUAAUCAAAGGGAGAUUGACUUGAAAAGCAGUGAGAUUAUUCGCAUGGAUGGUAACAAGACAUGCAUUGAAAAUCUGAAGUUUCAGAGCCUAAUCUCCUGCCCCAAUAUAAUAGUGUCGCCACAGGGUGGAAGUGAGGAGUUAGGCCGAGAGCGAAUUAAGGAAUUUACAUUUGACUAUUCUUACUGGUCUGUGCACCCAAGUGAUCAACACUUUGUAACGCAAGAACAGGUUUUUAAUGACCUUGGCCAGGAAGUUGUGGACAAUGCAUUUGAAGGCUACAAUGCUUGCAUAUUUGCCUACGGCCAAACCGGGUCAGGAAAGACCUUCACUAUGAUGGGCUCGUCUGACAAUGAAGGGCUCAUACCGCGAAUUUGCCAAGCUAUGUACACUAGGAUGAAAUUAGGGCAAAAUUCUGGCACUACAUUUCGUACAGAGGUUAGUUAUCUUGAAAUUUACAAUGAAAAGGUAAAAGACCUGUUAAAGCGAGAAAGCACACAGCACAAUCUCAGAGUCCGAGAGCAUCCAAAGCUUGGACCAUAUGUACAAGACUUGUCACGCCACCUUGUCAUGGACUACUCGGAUGUAGAGGAGCUCAUGGCACGCGGAAAUGCGCACAGGACGACUGCAUCCACAGCCAUGAAUGAUGUCAGCAGCCGGUCGCAUGCUAUUUUUACUUUGAAUUUUACUCAGGCAAAAUUUAUUCGUGACCUCCCAAGUGAAACUGUCAGCAAAGUUAACUUGGUCGAUCUUGCUGGCAGUGAACGGGCUGAUUCCACCAAGGCAACUGGCCAGCGUUUAAAAGAAGGUGGCCACAUCAACAAGUCUUUAGUCACACUUGGAACAGUCAUAUCGGCACUAGCCGAGCUGUCAACCAGUCAUAGCCGGAAGCGCGUGUUCAUUCCUUACCGGGAUUCUGUCUUGACUUGGCUAUUGAGAGACAGCCUAGGAGGGAACUCCAAGACAAUCAUGAUUGCCACCAUCUCUCCUGCGGAAUGCAACUAUGGAGAAACGCUGAGCACCUUGCGCUAUGCAAACCGUGCCAAGAAUAUUAUCAACAAGCCGACUAUCAAUGAGGAUCCAAAUGUCAAACUCAUCAAAGAACUUCGAGAGGAGAUUGCCAGACUACGGUCAAGAGUCGAAGGGGAUGAUAGUAGCACACAGGUGAUGGAGAAACUCCAAGAGAAUGAAGCAAGGGUGAAAUUUCUGACAGAAGAGUGGACGGAGAAAUGGAAGGAAACACACAAAAUUCUAAAGGAGCAAAAGACCCUAGGCCUGCGGAUGUCUGGCCAAGGCGUCGUCCUCGACUCCGAGCGGCCGCACCUGAUUGGACUGGGAGAUGACAUUCUGAGCACGGGUGUUGUCCUCUACCACUUGAAGGAUGGAAAGACCUUCAUAGGCACUGAGAAUGCAGUGACCAAGCAAGAUAUUGUCCUAUCUGGAUCUGGAAUCCAAGAUGAGCAUUGCUCCAUAGAGCUGGUGGACGGUGGGGCCACCCUUUACCCAAAUGCAAACUCUGAGUGCUGCAUCAACACAAUGCCUGUGGACAAGCCUACCAGGCUCACACAAGGCUGUGUCGUUCUGCUGGGAUCGACAAAUGUGUUCCGAUACAAUGACCCUGCUGAGGUACACAAGCUUAGAAAAGAGAAGGAGAGGAGGUCACUUAUGAACCUGUCUCACUUGUCUUUUCUGAGCCGAUCAGCAGGCGACAUGUCCAAGUCGACAGAGAGCAUCUGCGGAAAUGGGUUUGAGGCUCAUGAAGAUGGAAGUGAAAAGAUUAUGGACAUGAGCAUGCGCAAGCUAUUGGAAAAGCAGUCGGGCAACUACGAGGAGCACAACAACAACAGCAGCGUUGUUGCUCCGCUGAGCAAAGAGCAGGAAGCCGUGGAGGCGCAGCUGUCUCAAAAGCGCGAGGAGCUCAGGCAACUGCAGGAGAAGACCGAGGAGCUCAAGAGGAUGGCCGAUGAGGCUCAUAGAAAAGCUGAAGAAGAGCAAACAAAGCUUGAAAAUGUCACUGAGGAAUUGCGAAGACAUCUGGAGAAGCAAGCUAGCGAAGAACAAGGUACAGCGCAGAGGAUUGUGCAGCUUCAGCAGGAGCUACGUUACCUGACAGCAAAGGAGAAAGAAGUGCGAGAGAAUUUUGAGCAGCUCAAAAACAGGCUUCAACAGGAGCGAGUGUACGUGCUGAGCAAACUUGAGACAGAGCAGUCGCGCCUCUAUGAUGAGAUCAAGAGCCUCGAGAUGAAGGAGCAGGACUUGAAGGACGCUAUCGCCAAGCAGCAGCAGGAGCUGGCGCGUGUGGAAGAAGAGGUCAGCCAGAAGAAAGAUGAAUACUCGUCUCAGACGAAUCUCCUACAGGACGAGAUACAUCUUCUGAAAGACGAGCUCGUACUUUCGACUACCCAAGCUUCGGAGAACUGGCGCUCCCUCCUGUCGCUUAUCUCUGGCGCCCGCGAUGACCUUCCCCUUCCCAAGAACACCAGUGAUCUGGAGAACAUCGUCGAGAGCAUCCGUCAGCAGCUUGCCGACAAGAAACAUGCCCAACUGGCCGAGAUCCACGAAGAGCGGCAAAGCAUCGCUGGGCAAAUCGAAGCCUUGGCAGAGAAGCAGAAGUUGUUGCAGAGCUUUGCCGAUGAAGCAUCACCAGACGAAGAUGGCUCAGGUGACCGGGAAGGCCGUGAAAGGAAAGGCCAUGGCACAAGAACUUCUGGCGAAGCGUCCUCCAAUGAAAAGGGUGGCGGCGAGGACAAACUCUCGUCGGAUGAGUCGGACAGUGAGGAAGUGAGCACUCUUGUGAAGGGAAGGCUUGCUUUCGUGGGUGAAGAAGUGCGCAAACUUCAGGAAGAGGAGCAGGCACUGGGCAGGAAAGAAGAGGACGUGGAAGUUGGCUGGCGGCAUAACCUCGACACACUGGACUCGCUGCUUCCAUUGCUCGAGUCCAUGGUUGAGGACCUGGACAAGCUGGAAGGUUGCAUAUCAGAAAAGGAACAAGACGUCGCCGACAUAGAGAGUUCUGUGAACCAGUGUGACAGCAAACUCACAGGCGUUCUCACCGAGAAAGAAAACCUGGAACAGCAGCUCCAGAAGGUGCAAGAUCGCAAAGUGGAUGCUGACACGGAACAGAAAGAGCUCAAGACAUCGCUGAACAGCCUGGAUGACAAGAUGGCAUUUCUGGCACAGCAGGAAGAAGACAUACUGAGCACGUUGAAGAACAAGCGACAGCGAGUUGAAGAAGAGCUGUCCAAGUUCAGCAAUGGUAACGACCCGCUGAUCGACGCUCUUGGCAAUGGCAGCCAGCUGUCAUCCCCUGCACACAACGAAAGCUAUCUUCUGUCGUGCUCCGACAACCUCGGACCUCUGACGUCUUCUCCCAUAUCCAACAAAUUGCAUCACAGUAGCUGGGAUCUAUCUGGUCUCGAGGAAAAGUACUUGGUCAUUGAGAAGGAGCUUGAGGAACGACGGAAAGCCUUUGAUUCUGAGCGGGGAGAAGCUGACAAUGUCUGCCUGAAGCAGCUCAGGGAGAUGGAAUUCAAGCAUCGGGAGGAAUUACUGGAGCUCAUUAAGGAAAAGGCAGAAGACCUGAAGAGACAUAACUCGGGCCUGCAUCCACUGCCCUGUGAUGGCAAUUCUUCCACUCUUCCUGGAAGAAGACAAAACAUCACAUCUCGAUCUUUGCCCAUUCUCCCAACGCACCCCUACCUGUCAUUCGAGCGAGGCACAGAGGAGUGCCCCAUCAGGAUAUCCAUUCCAUCCUACACGUUGCGAGGAAGUGGAUCCAAUGCUCACAUUGAAUACGAAGUCAAGGUGGUAGUCAUGGAUGACAGCUGGACCUUGUAUCGGCGAUACAAGCGGUUUCGAGAGCUCCAUGACUACAUGAAGUUAAAGUAUGGACAGAAGGUGAUGCUGCCAUACUUCCCCCCAAAGCUGCUCUUUGGGAACAAGUCACAGCGACUGGUGGAAGAACGGCGCAAGCUGCUGGAGGUUUACCUGAUUGAGCUCAUCAACAAGUGCCGUCGUGACCUGUCCUGUCCCCUGCACCGAACAGUGCAGGGCCUCUGCAAACAGCACAUGUGGGAGUUUGCACCAUUCUUCCGGAAAGGAUGUUUCGAGACGAGCAAGCACAGCACCGGCUGAAGGCCAUGAUGUUUGCAUAGCUUCGGAGACACUUUUCACGCAGUGCGCCGCAUGUUUCAUGCAGCGGUAUCAAUUGCACUAUGCCUUGCAACGCGAUUUUGAAUUCGGGGUCACGAGCCCUCUCAUGAGGUUUGUGGGCAAAGGAGCUUGAGAGGUAAGGAUGUGCAAAUAGGACAGUGUUUAACCACUGCUGGCAUAAUUUUUUCAAGCAAAGCACACACGCUCGUGGUUCAUCAUUGUGAUAUUGCAUAGAUCGUUCCCAAGUUGUUGGACUACUGUGCUUGCAUGAAAAGCUGGCCUCCACGCCAGACAGUGGUGUGGCAUUGAGUUUGCCGGUUACAAGUAUUCUUUUGUCGAGGCAAAAGUUAUGUCGUAAGUUUGCACACUGGAGUCAUUUGUUAAAAGGUGCCACAUCAACAGACCAAACAGCAAGCUUUCAGCGUAGCUAAGGCUAACCAUGAAAUAGAUGGUUAUACUCACAACAUGCCUGUGCCAUUUGACCGGGUGUGUUGGUUGGUCACCUUUCUGCUGUGUCGAGAAACCAGUGUGCGAUGAGCGGGGGUGUGUUUACACCCAACUCUGUAAAUUCGCGACUGUUCCUGAAUGCUGUCUGCUUUGAGGCAAACCUAUGCAAGUGCAGCAAGAGGUAAUGUCAGGAGGCCUUCCUGGUGUCCGAGUACCGGCUGUGUUUCCAACAGCCAAGCUUUUGUUUCAUAUACUCACUUGACAAAGUAUAAUCUAGCGCACCCUCUUUUAUCAGCAGCUUUGUUGCAUCGGCUUUUGUGAAGCAUUGGUCAUGGUGCUUUUGCUUGUGGUAGCCCUGGAGAACAGUACGUCUGCUGUGUUUGCUUUCAAAUGGUAGUGCCUGUUACUGUAGCAUUACUGGUAUAUUGGUGCCGCUUUGCAUGAAGAGGCUGGUAUUAACUGCCCCAAAAAUGCAUUUGUGCAUGCCACAAAAAUGUACGAGGCAGUUUUUACUUGCACAUCCGUCUCGUUAGAGAAGACUGUAGGUGGCAUUAAGGAGUGAAGUUCAGAGUGCAGGAUCUGGCAACUAACCUACAGCAAGUCGUCGUACACCAUGUAAGGGUUCUCCUGUUUACACGAGUACAAACAAGUCCUUGCAAACUUUUUGUUUCAAAGUGUUAUUUAGCUUUGGCCAUGAGAUAGUAGCAGCAUGAAUCCAAGCUUAUUUAUGAUGCCCCCAACUAUCGAGUCUGACUCAUACCUGCAACUAUUCUAGGUGUUUUUAAACCAUAUUGGAGCAUGCUGGAAGUCUGUCUGUUCUUCCUUCUAGCUUCGAUGGGGAUGCCUGCGUUGUCCUAUUUGUAUAGGUAUUUUUAACUUUUGGAGAGCAUAUACUGUUUUGCAUGAAAGCAUAAUGUGAGGCGUGCUUUUUUUUGUUUUAUUAUGAAUGAGUCGGGCUUGUUGCAACGCUCUUGUACAGUUUUCUAUUUAGUUUUUGUUUCUCCGCUUCCGUAGAGAUUUUUCGUAUACUAGGUUAUUCCUUGUCUUUUGCAUUUGUCCAUGCUUUUGAAUGCAUCAUCAACUUUUCUUCUUUACUCCAACUCCACUUGUAUUGUGGGAACACGUCAGCACAAAUACAUCUGGUGCGCACAAGAAUUCCUUUAAGUAGUUAUAUACACUAUAGCAUGAGAGUUUUAUUUAAGUCCUAGGUUCACUAGUAGCAGGAAACGAAGGUUGAAAGCUCAUAAUCACCGAGGAGUGCAGUACACGUUCGCUGCUGUCAUAUGGCAGCUCCCAACACAUUUCCUGGGCAGUCCUGAUCUCGUACAUUGUAUAGAGCUUGGCAGUGGUUAUGAUAAUGUUUAGGUUUUUCUCACUUCCCCAUAUUACUGGCAUACAAGCACCUGCUCAUCUUACAUAGGAGAAACGAUUCAGCACCAUCAAGAUAUUCAUCUCAUACUUUCAUCUAUACAAAUUCUGCAAGUUCUUCAAAGUGGAUGUUAAAAAUAGGGAGCAUGAGGCAAUUUGCAUUAGCUCAAACCAACUGAAAUUCUUUUGCACAUAUUUGUUUUUACAAUUGUAGUAUAGAAUAGCAUACUCUAUUGUAUCUGAGUGCAAGGUGGUUAUGCCAGGCCAGCUUUAGUCAUUCUUGUUUUAUUGAAUACAUUUCAUCAGCUACUUCAUAGCUUUUGUAAGAUUUGUAUCGUCGCCGAGUGGUGAGCUCACACUUUUAUGAGACCACACUGAGAUACAUAGUUGAUAAUUUGCCGCGUGCCACAAACAUGCCUGCUGAUGCUUUUCAGGAGUAUGGGAUGCCUGCUUGCAUGCUACAAUUUAGGGCCGUUCCACUGCUUACCUUCAGGUGCUGAAGGUAGGCAGUGGAAAUGGCACUGAAGUUUGCAAUGUAUAGUCAAAACUUUAGUGCACACUUUGCAGAAAACCAGUCUAAAAUCUAAUGCAGUGAGGAGGCUUGCUUUAUCUCUCCCUCUGUUUAAGGUAAUUAAAGAAAAGUCUCCAUGCAGCUUAUCUGACACCAGUCCUGUCACAGCACUUUGGGUGCAUUGUAACGUUUGGUUGCUUCAGGGUGACUGGCACACUAACAUGUUUAUGUUGUGGUUGGUGUGAAUUUUAUCAUGCAUUUGCUGCCAUUUGCUGCAUGCCACAGACAUGCCUGCUGAGGCUUUUCAUUAGUAUGGGACGCUUGCUUGCAUGCCGCAAUUUAGGGCCGUUGUUGCAAAACAUUCUUCUAGAACAUUCUUGUGGACAUUUUCUCGGUCAUUUACUUGGUCAUUGAACUGUGCUUUGUCAACACUAAGAGUGGCGCCAUUCCCACACUGAUGGGUGAAAAACGACACUGAACAGUGAUCAGCCUCCUUUUGAGAGGCAAGCGCACAAAAAUCUGCUCAUUCCAGCAUUUCGUGAACAAUGUGUUUUGUUCGAAGUGUUAUUGGUGAUGCCUUUUCUUUGUGCUACGUCUGUGUGAAUUCGUCUACGAUGUGUGUGUGCAGCGUGCGUUUUGUUUGUAUUUAUAUUGAGAAGACACCCUUCUUUUGUUGUUGUUCUUGUGAGUGCGCACAUGUGAAAAUAGGGAAAGCCUUCAUUUAACAACUACGCAAGGUCUUUAUUGCCGAAGAUAUGUCCACACCUGGCUUCAGCAGCUAGCAAUCUAUUGCUUAUCUUGUGGGACUCCACGGCUGAUGUUUGACCGUUUAAUAAGUAACCAUAUUUGACCAGUUGCCACUAUUUGUGAACAUUCGGCCCUUGUAAAAUGUAAAAUUGACUUUGAGGGGGAAUAUGUAACUUUGUUAAAUUUGUACUUAGAGCUGUAAUGAAACCUAUGGCUUGUUUUUGUUUAUAAUCACUCAAAAGUGUUUGAUUGAUGCACAUUGUUUGCUAAUGUUUUCACACAUACAUGUUUCUAGUGUUGGUAGUUUUGUGUAUUAGACUGUUUAGAGCUUAAUAUGUUACAGCACACUUGCAUUGCUUGCUGUGCAGAUAUGUUGAGAUGUUGUACCUGACAAAUUUCACACCUUGGCGUUCUGAGCUGAACAGGUGCAAAGCUCAGUUCUCAUGUUUCCACAUUUGGCUGGGCUGUAGGAAAUGCUACAACUGGUCCAAAUGGCUUCCGUUUCUGCAGCAAUAAACUGUGGCUACUCAUGAUUAAAUGUGUAAGCACGACUGAACGUCGAUGUAGAAGGAAACACACAUAGAGAUAGCGCUGUCUCAGUGUGUGUAUAUUUCUUUCUACAUCCUCAUUCAGUUGUGCUUACACAUUCCAUCAUGGAUUCAAACCAGCUAGCCCACCAACAUGUUUUAACCAAGUGGCUACUCAUUGUGUGCCCUUGGCACAGCAUCAGUGCCCGUGAAUGUCAGUAUUUCAAGAAUUUUUUGUUUUUUGUUGGGUCGUUGGACAUUGUUGAGGUUUUGGCAUUUGUCAGAAUUGAAUCGGCUU